GGGGGUGUAGCUCAGUGGCAGAGCGUCUCGUUUGCAUUCGCAAAGAUCCAAAUAUCGAGAAGGUCUGGGGUUCAAUCCCCCACGUCUCCA
rnacentral:tRNA from 2 species